rnacentral:rRNA from 1 species
UACGUAGGAGGCGAGCGUUGUCCGGAGUUACUGGGCGUAAAGGGUGCGCAGGCGGCGGUUCGCGUGGCGAGAUGAAAUCUCCUGGCUUACCUGGGAGGAUGGUCGCCAGACGGGAUCGCUUGAGGGUCGGAGAGGGGCGUGGAAUUCCGGGUGGAGCGGUGAAAUGCGUAGAGAUCCGGAGGAACACCGACGGCGUAGGCGGCGCCCUGGACGACACCUGACGCUGAGGCACGAAAGCUGGGGGAGCAAACAGG